GCCAGGCAUGGUGGCACAUGCCUGUAAUCCCAGCUACUUGGGAGGCUGAGGCAGGAGAAUCGCUUGAACCCGGGAGGCAGAGGUUGCAGUGAGCCAAGAUUGUACCACUGCACUCUAGCCUGGGCAACACAGCGAGACUCUGUCUCAA
rnacentral:SRP_RNA from 1 species